AGUUGCUUCCCCGAGCACUGGGAAAGACAUCCGAGCCUGUCUGAGGAGGCAGAGCUGGUAGGUCAUGGCUUUCAGGAACCUUCACCGGACAGUAUCCUGGGCCCUGAGAGCUGCUGCUUGGUCCUUCUUUAUUACACUCCUCCAUGCUGUUCUUCAGAGAGGCGUCCCAGCCAGAGCUCCUAGGAAAAGUCAGUAUCGUUUACACUCGGACAGCCUCUGAAUCAGCCCAGUUAACACCAUGAUUCACAGAUGGGUUAACCUGCCUCUCUGCCUCAAGUCCAAGUCUUCUGUUCAUGGGGAGCACAAGAGGACAGACAAUGCCAGGAGUCCCACAGGGGACAAUGGCUCUCCUUGAGAGUCAAGGGUUGAGAGAAGGAAACUCUGUAGAUGCCUCUAAUGCAGUGCCUCCCCACCUUCCACUCUUCCCCUUCAGUUAGCCAGCAAGGCCUGCCUUCCCUGCUGUGGGAGAUGAAGGGGCAGACUCAGAGCUCACCUGUCCAGUGAAAAGUUUUCAUAGCGUCAGAACCAGGUCCAGUGCCCCAGCCCAGACCUGUCGGGCUCUCUUCUCCUCCAUGUGGGCACAAGGCCACGAUACCCAUCCCACACCUGUGCUUACCCACUCCAUCUCUCCCAUAACCCAGGAAUCAAAGGACUCUGUGAUCUUGCCAAUAGUAGGCCAAAUAUAGCCCUCCAUAGGCCCACAGAUCCUCCUAUAAGCCACAAAGUGGCAUCCACCGACCCUGACUUAGAGGGUCAGCUCAGCUCAAGGAAUGCAUACCCUCUUGUCUUCACAAAGGGAAUAGCAGGUAGCCCUGGGCCCUGGGCACAUCUACCACCUUGAGGAGAAGGGUUUGCAGGUCAUUAUUAGCAAGUCCUUCCAAAACUACUGCUGCUUUUUUCACUACCCCAAAACAUUAUCAUCAAGAGCAAUCCUUUAAGCAGGAGAAUGUUACAGUAAAUCAGAUAAGUGUGCGGGGAAUGACAGGUUUUCACUUAAGGAUGGCUCAGGAAUAAAAAGAAUGUCUGCAGUUACCUCAAUAAAAAUUUCAAUAAAAAAAAAA
rnacentral:lncRNA from 1 species